GGAGAGCUCAGGGGUCACCUAUUUGGGGCCAGGAUAAAGGAACAAAUGGAAAGAAGGAUUCGUAAAUCUUGAAGCAGCUCUUAGAGACCACCACAAGCUUAAGACCGAGAAUCACUUCCCAGGAUGGCCUGGGAUACUCAGUAACGAGCCCUCGGCGACCUGGAGCUUCUUGCCUCCAGCCCCCGCCAGCCUCAACACUCUGGGUAAAGUAAAUUAAAAACCCGGACAACCGGAGUCUGUGAGAAUGAAAACGACAUCGGGAUUCCAGACAGCUGACUCGCCCAGAGCUCGGACGGGACCUACGCAGGGCGGGUACGCCAACUCCUACAACGACACGUCACCGUGCUUGGCCGCUUCUCGGUUGGUGGGCGGGGCGACGUCUACUUCCGGAUCCGGCCUCUUCUGGGUAACGCCUCACCUGCGGUUCCCUAGGUUACCUGAUGGCGGGGCGGGGCGAGGCGGGAGGGGCGGAGCGAAGAGAUCCAGAGUUGAGGAGCUAGCUCCUGGUUGGUGGGCACUGUUAAGUGGAAGCGCACCCAGAGACUUCUCGCAACUAGGAAAAAGGGAAAUUUCCUCUGCGUUCUCACACAGGUGGUGACGCAACUUUCUUCAGACUACUGAUAACUCUGGCAGGAGCAAAACCUGAGGGAAGGGAUUUUUCCUAUGCUGCAGACUGCAUUUAACAAUUCGGAGAAGCUGAGGAAAGGGAAAGGUUUUUGUUUUGUGUUUUGUUUUUUUUAAUUAAUAAUGGAUAUGGAUAAUGAAAAGGGUCUGAGAGGGAUGAGCGAUGGCUGCACAAUUCAAUAUACUCUGAUCUUUACACUCAAAAUGGUUAAGAUGAUAAAUUUUAUUAUGUUUGGUUUGUCACAGUUAAAAUCCAGAAUUCUUUUCUCCCCACUCUUUUCUGCUGAAAUAAUUUAGACAUCCGCUUUUCUGAGUUUCUCACAUUGUAUGAAUGAGAUGGCCAGAUUUAACAAACAAAUAUACAGAUAACCAUGUUAAA